rnacentral:rRNA from 1 species
CAGGAUGAACGCUGGCGGCGUGCCUAAUACAUGCAAGUCGAACGGAGAUGAAGGGGCUUGCUCCUUUAUCUUAGUGGCGAACGGGUGAGUAACACGUAGGUAACCUGCCCUUUAGCUUGGGAUACCCAGAGGAAACUUUGGCUAAUACCGGAUAACAACAACCGAGGCAUCUCGGAUGCUUGAAAGGCCCUUUUGGGUCACUAAAGGAUGGACCUGCGGCGCAUUAGCUAGUUGGUGAGAUAAUAGCCCACCAAGGCGAGGAUGCGUAGCCGAACUGAGAGGUUGAUCGGCCACAAUGGAACUGAGACACGGUCCAUACUCCUGCGGGAGGCAGCAGUAAGGAGUUUUCGGCAAUGGGGGAAACCCUGACCGAGCAACGCCGCGUGAGUGAUGACGGCCCUAUGGGUUGUAAAGCUCUGUUGUAGGGGAAGAAAUGUAAGGGUAGUGGAAUGACCUUUACUUGACGGUACCUUACCAGAAAGCCACGGCUAACUACGUGCCAGCCGCCGC